rnacentral:lncRNA from 1 species
AUUGUCUUCCGAGCUGUGGUCAUCUUUGCAAGGGAAUGAUAUUGCAGCCCAGGAGGCCCUUCCCAGCCCAGCGCUUUGGAGUCAGCCCCAGGUGCACUUUCUUGCCGUUGCGGAUCACAGUCACACUCAGAGGUCUUCCUUCACUGUGCUGUACUACUGUGGCAAUGUUCUGCAGGCUCUUGAAGUUGUGCACAUUGACGGAACCAAACUCCACAAUCUCAUCAUCAACCUGAAGGCCCGAGGUGCUGGCAGGAGACUCCGGCGUCACAGCAUUGACUUUGGCAAAGGCAGGUGGCAGGCUCUGGCUCAUGGCCUCAGCCCGUGCCUCUGCCUCAUCCCUGGCGUGCUUCUCCUUCUCCCGGGCGUGCAGCUGGUGAAGAGCCUCCUCCACCUGCUUCAUCAGAGCCUUGUGGUCGUUCUGCAGACAGGCGAUGCUGUGCCGCGCGGCGCGCACUUGGUACAGAUCGAUGUCGGCCCGGGGGAAGCCCUCGGCGUCCACCAGCGGCCCGUCCGUACCCACGCCCUUUUGGUCCUCCAGGAGCUGGUAGCAGGCCCGGAUCUGCGCCUCCAGCUCGUCCUUGCGCCGCACCAGCUGCUGCACCUCGCCCAGCGUCAUGGCGCGGCCCGACCCGUCCUCCGACAUGGCGGCGGCACCGCACCGUGCCGCGGCGGCAGGAAGUGCGUCACGGGGCGCGCGAGGGCGGGACCGGAAGUGCCGCAUUCGGAG